AGUCAUAUGCUUGUCUCAAAGAUUAAGCCAUGCAUGUCUCAGUACAAGCCUAAUUAAGGUGAAACCGCGAAAGGCUCAUUAAAUCAGUUAUGGUUCCUUAGAUCGUACCCACACUUACUUGGAUAACUGUGGUAAUUCUAGAGCUAAUACAUGCAAACAGAGCUCCGACCGGAGACGGAAGGAGCGCUUUUAUUAGAUCAAAACCAAUCGGCGGCGGGCUUGCUCGCUGUCGUACACCUUGGUGAAUCUGAAUAACUUUCUGCUGAUCGCAUGGUCUCGCACCGGCGACGCAUCUUUCAAAUGUCUGCCUUAUCAACUGUCGAUGGUAGGUUCUGCGCCUACCAUGGUUGUAACGGGUAACGGGGAAUCAGGGUUCGAUUCCGGAGAGGGAGCCUGAGAAACGGCUACCACAUCCAAGGAAGGCAGCAGGCGCGCAAAUUACCCACUCCCGGCACGGGGAGGUAGUGACGAAAAAUAACGAUACGGGACUCAUCCGAGGCCCCGUAAUCGGAAUGAGUACACUCUAAACCCUUUAACGAGGAUCAAUUGGAGGGCAAGUCUGGUGCCAGCAGCCGCGGUAAUUCCAGCUCCAAUAGCGUAU
rnacentral:rRNA from 1 species